rnacentral:rRNA from 1 species
CCUACGGUGAGCUGCAGUGAGGAAUAUUGGUCAAUGGGCGCGAGCCUGAACCAGCCAAGUAGCGUGAAGGAUGACUGCCCUACGGGUUGUAAACUUCUUUUAUAAAGGAAUAAAGUGAGGCACGUGUGCCUUUUUGUAUGUACUUUAUGAAUAAGGAUCGGCUAACUCCGUGCCCGCAGCCGCGGUAAUACGGAGGAUCCGAGCGUUAUCAGGAUUUAUUGGGUUUAAAGGGAGCGUAGAUGGGUUGUUAAGUCAGGUGGGAAAGUUUGCGGCUCAACCGUAAAAUUGCAAUUGAUACUGGCAGCCUUGAGUACAGUUAAGGUAGGCGGAAUUCGGGGUGUAGCGGUGAAAUGCUUAGAUAUCACGAAGAACUCCGAUUGCGAAGGCAGCUUACUAAACUGCCACUGACAUUGAUGCUCGAAAGUGUGGGUAUCAAACAGGAUUAGAUACCCGGGUAGUC